AUUGCUGGGUCAUACAGAUGUCCCGUAUUUAAUUUUUGCAGAGUCUCCACACUGUUUUCGGUAAUGGCUGUACAUUCCCACUGAGAGUGUAUGAGGGUUCAUCUUUAUUUCUGAAAGUCAGGUCCUCUGAGUAAAAAUUUCUAAGUUUCUAAGUUGGUCAUUAUUCUUCUUUUAAAGUGUCCCUCCCUCUCCCUUUGACCUCUCCCAAACAGUCCACCACUGUGCUGGGACUCUUCCCACUCUCCAACUUCCAGACCAUCUCUUUAACAACUUCACCUUUUGAGGUCAUGAAUUAGGAACAGAAGUUAAAUAAUAUAUGAACAGAUACAAUAAAACAGAACUACCAUGUUAGAAGUACAGAAGAAAAAGGAAAACAAAACAUUCACAACUGCACCCCCUUUAGGCCCCCUCCCUUCAUGAUAAAGAUAAAUAUUGCAUUCUUGUUUCUUUUACUUUAGGGAAAGAUACCUGCCCCCUGCCUGCACUCAGAUUCUGGUCAACAAAGGACAGCUCUCAAUCUGAACCAGCAUAUAAGAAUCUUCCCUCCUUGGCAAGAAGAGAGGAGUGCCCUGAAGACUGGAAACGCUGAGAAUCCUUUCGGAGGCAAAAUUAAUGACAGAGAGACUGCUUCUUUCAGGUAUGUAAUUCUUCAUUCAAGUAAGGCUUGACUUCCUAUGAUAUGGAACUUAAGGAAAAGCCUCAGGAUUUGGAGGUUAAAAUUUAUUUGUUUCUCUAAAGCCAUAAAAGAAGAGUCAGAGUGAAUUUUACAAUACAGAACAAAAAUAGUUUUCAUUUCAUGAAAUUACAGUUUU
rnacentral:lncRNA from 1 species